GCUUCUAAUGGAGGUGGA
rnacentral:siRNA from 1 species